rfam:Carnobacterium maltaromaticum LMA28 complete genome
AGAUAUCUGAUGUGUACGAUAUAUCCUUUACAGUGGUGACCGAACAAGUAAUACCUUUUAGGGAUCCAAACUGAAAUCAAACUGAUAACAAGCCUUUUCACUUGGUAGUUAGAGAUGUUUGACAGCGGAGCCCACCUUGCUAUAAGCGGGGCAACACAUCGGGAUGCUGAACCGGCACAAUCGGAUUUCUU